UACGUAGGGGGGCAAGCGUUGUCCGGAAUCAUUGGGCGUAAAGAGCGUGUAGGCGGCCCGGUAAGUCCGCUGUGAAAGUCCAGGGCUCAACCCUGGGAUGCCGGUGGAUACUGUCGGGCUCGAGUCCGGAAGAGGAGUGUGGAAUUCCUGGUGUAGCGGUGAAAUGCGCAGAUAUCGGGAGGAACACCAGUGGCGAAGGCGGUGCUCUGGGCCGGAACUGACGCUGAGGAGCGAAAGCGUGGGUAGCAAACAGG
rnacentral:rRNA from 1 species